UUCACCAAGUGUCAUAAGAAGACUGGCUUCUCUACCGCUCCUGACGCCGCCAGUACCCACUGGAAGCAGACAGUGUUUUACCUGGAGGACUACCUGACUGUGAGGAAGGGAGAGGAGAUACUGGGCAGCAUCGCAGUCAAGCCCAACGAUAAGAACGUGCGGGACCUGGAGUUCACCUUGGAGUUGGACUUUAAAGGACAGCUGUGUGAUGCGGCCAUUUCCCACGACUACAAGAUGCGCUAGCUGACCAGCAAAGGGCGAUAUCCCCCUCCUUGAGAGGGAGGGCACAGGCUCUCCAUCAGGCCCUCUUAUUGGUCCGAGGGGGACACAAUACGCAUCUGAUUGGAUGACAGCGCUCCAGCACCUAAGUGAUGUCAUAAAAACAAGCCAUUUCGAAGCAAUAGCGCCAUCACCUGCCACAUUUUUAAAGCUGCCCUGAGAAUGUAAUAUCCCUGAUGAACUUGAUUUGUUAUUUUUUCAGGUUGAGUUUCAGUGUUAUCAGUACUAGAGCUAAAGGAGUUAUAGGGAUUUUAGAUGCCAGUCCAGAGGCACUUUAAGGACAAACUCUGAGCAUGUCUUUUAUCAAGGAAAACAGACAAGCUGUUUUACAGCUGUCUUUCAAAGUUCAACGAAUGCAGAACCCUAAGAGUUUAACAGGAAAGUCAUUCAGUGUUUGUUCAAGUUAGUUAUAUUUUGUUGGUUUUCAGUACUGGUAAGUUAUGUAGCAUGUUUAGCUUUUUGUUCUUGGUUGAUUUCAAGUAUCAUGAUUUGAUCAUUUGAGAUAUUCACAAUUGCUAAUGGAACGUGUUUAAUGAUAGAAACCUGUGAGAAAUGUCUUGUCUUCCAUCUCCAGCUGGAAGUUAUUUAGCCAUUUUGAUUUUGGGGUGUGGUGUAGGAGUGAUGAACAAAUAAAGAACAUUUACUUAGAA